GACGAACGCUGGCGGCGUGCCUAAUACAUGCAAGUAGAACGCUGAAGGAGGAGCUUGCUUCUCCGGAUGAGUUGCGAACGGGUGAGUAACGCGUAGGUAACCUGCCUGGUAGCGGGGGAUAACUAUUGGAAACGAUAGCUAAUACCGCAUAACAGUAGAUGUUGCAUGACAUUUGCUUAAAAGGUGCAAUUGCAUCACUACUAGAUGGACCUGCGUUGUAUUAGCUAGUUGGUGAGGUAACGGCUCACCAAGGCGACGAUACAUAGCCGACCUGAGAGGGGGAUCGGCCACACUGGGACUGAGACACGGCCCAGACUCCUACGGGGGGCAGCAGUAGGGAAUCUUCGGCAAUGGACGGAAGUCUGACCGAGCAACGCCGCGUGAGUGAAGAAGGUUUUCGGAUCGUAAAGCUCUGUUGUAAGAGAAGAACGAGUGUGAGAGUGGAAAGUUCACACUGUGACGGUGUCUUACCAGAAAGGGACGGCUAACUACGUG
rnacentral:rRNA from 1 species